CACGUAGGGACCGAGCGUUGUCCGGAAUCAUUGGGCGUAAAGAGCGUGUAGGCGGCCACUUAAGUCCUGCGUGAAGCUUGCGGCUCAACCGCAAGCGGUCGUGGGAAACUGGGUGGCUAGAGUGCGGGAGAGGAGAGUGGAAUUCCUGGUGUAGCGGUGGAAUGCGCAGAUAUCAGGAAGAACACCCGUGGCGAAGGCGGCUCACUGGGCUGACCUUGACGCUGAGGCGCGAAGGCGUGGGGAGCGAACGGG
rnacentral:rRNA from 1 species